rnacentral:rRNA from 1 species
UGGGGGAUAUUGCACAAUGGGCGAAAGCCUGAUGCAGCGACGCCGCGUGGGGGAUGAGGCUUUCGGGUUGUAAACCUCUUUCGCUAUCGAACAAGGCCCGCUUAGGGUGGGUUGAGGGUAGGUGGAGAAGAAGCGCCGGCUAACUACGUGCCAGCAGCCGCGGUAAUACGUAGGGCGCGAGCGUUGUCCGGAAUUAUUGGGCGUAAAGGGCUUGUAGGCGGCUUGUUGCGCCUGCUGUGAAAACGCGGGGCUUAACUUCGCGCGUGCAGUGGGUACGGGCAGGCUUGAGUGUGGUAGGGGUGACUGGAAUUCCAGGUGUAGCGGUGGAAUGCGCAGAUAUCUGGAGGAACACCGAUGGCGAAGGCAGGUCACUGGGCCAUUACUGACGCUGAGGAGCGAAAGCAUGGGUAGCGAACAGG